rnacentral:snRNA from 1 species
GAAUAUGAAGGUAUUAUAUCUGUGAUAUCUAUCAGUGUACUGAUCACUGGAGUUGAUUCAGCUGAUCUAGCUGGCUAAGCAUGUGUCCCUGUUCUCUGGCAUCAUUACAUGUUGUCCCCCCAAAAGCUUUGGGUUUAAUCAAAGAAGACAAUCUUCCCUGAUCAAAAAGUACAAUUAUUCUGCCAAGGAUAUACAAGUAGAUAUGUUUUCCUGCUAGAGCCUCCAAGUAGGCUCCUUCAAAUGAGAAAGGACCAUAUAAAUGAAUAACAAUCAGUGAAUAAAACCUAUAUAUUAUCAUAAUUUUAU